UACGUAGGGUGCAAGCGUUGUCCGGAAUUAUUGGGCGUAAAGAGCUCGUAGGCGGUCUGUCGCGUCGGCUGUGAAAUCCCGGAGCUCAACUCCGGGCCUGCAGUCGAUACGGGCAGACUGGAGUUCGGCAGGGGAGACUGGAAUUCCUGGUGUAGCGGUGGAAUGCGCAGAGAUCCGGAAGAACACCGGUGGCGAAGGCGGCCUGCUGGGCAGUAGCUGACGCUGAGGCGCGACAGCGUGGGGAGCAAACAGG
rnacentral:rRNA from 1 species